rnacentral:rRNA from 1 species
AUACGUAGGUGGCAAGCGUUGUCCGGAAUUAUUGGGCGUAAAGCGCAUGUAGGCGGUUUGGUAAGUCGGUCGUGAAAAUGCGGUGCUUAACGCCGUAUGGCGAUUGAAACUGCUGAACUUGAGUGCAGGAGAGGAAAGGGGAACUCCCAGUGUAGCGGUGAAAUGCGUAGAUAUUGGGAAGAACACCGGUGGCGAAGGCGCCUUUCUGGACUGUGUCGGACGCUCAGAUGCGAAAGCCAGGGUAGCGAACGGGAUUAGAUACCCCGGUAGUCCUGGCCGUAAACGAUGGGUACUAGGUGUGGGAGGUAUCGACUCCUUCCGUGCCGGAGUUAACGCAAUAAGUACCCCGCCUGGGGAGUACGGCCGCAAGGCUUAAACUCAAAUGAAUUGACGGGG